GCCCUUAGAGUUUGAUCCUGGCUCAGAACGAACGCUGGCGGCAGGCCUAACACAUGCAAGUCGAGCGCACCCUUCGGGGUGAGCGGCGGACGGGUUAGUAACGCGUGGGAAUGUGCCCUUCUCUACGGAAUAGCCUUUGGAAACGAAGAGUAAUACCGUAUACGCCCUUCGGGGGAAAGAUUUAUCGGAGAAGGAUCAGCCCGCGUUAGAUUAGAUAGUUGGUGGGGUAAUGGCCUACCAAGUCUACGAUCUAUAGCUGGUUUUAGAGGAUGAUCAGCAACACUGGGACUGAGACACGGCCCAGACUCCUACGGGAGGCAGCAGUGGGGAAUCUUAGACAAUGGGCGCAAGCCUGAUCUAGCCAUGCCGCGUGAGUGAUGAAGGCCUUAGGGUCGUAAAGCUCUUUCGCCAGAGAUGAUAAUGACAGUAUCUGGUAAAGAAACCCCGGCUAACUCCGUGCCAGCAGCCGCGGUAAUAAGGGCG
rnacentral:rRNA from 1 species